rnacentral:pre_miRNA from 1 species
UGCCGAAAUUUCCUCGGCAGUUAACUGCAGCCGGUUAACUUCCUCGGCAGUUAAUUGCCGAAGGGGUAU